rnacentral:rRNA from 1 species
AGCCUAACUCUAGCCCAAUCAAGCCAUAAACCAAAGCACUCUAAAACCCACGACAUUGAUCGGACUAAAACAUUCUUUAAUCUUAGUAUAGGCGAUAGAAAAGAUACCCAUCGGCGCGAUAGAGCCCUGUACCGUAAGGGAAGGAUGAAAUAGCAAUGAAAACUCAAGCAAUAAAUAGCAAAGACAAACCCUUGUACCUUUUGCAUCAUGAUUUAGCAAGAAUAACCAAGCAAAACGAACUUAAGCUUGCCAUCCCGAAACCCAAGCGAGCUACUUGCAGGCAGCUAUUCAUGAGCGAACCCGUCUCUGUGACAAAAGAGUGGGAUGACCUGCUAGUAGAGGUGAAAAGCCAAUCGAGCUGGGUGAUAGCUGGUUGCCUGUGAAAAGAAUCUAAGUUCUCUCUUAAUCUCCCUCCACGGACCAUCAACCCACCCCCCACGAAGCAAAUAAAGAGCAAUUUAAAGGGGGUACAGCCCCUUUAAAACAGAAUACAAUCUCCAAUAGAGGAUAAUAACAUUCUCACCCCACUUGUAGGCCCUCAAGCAGCCACCAACAAAGAGUGCGUCAAAGCUCUCACCCUAAAAAUUCAAAAACAAUCCGACUCCCUCACCACUAACAGGCUAACCUAUCAAACACAUAGGAGAACUAAUGCUAAAAUAAGUAACUAGGAGAACCUCCCUCCUCUUAAGCGCAAACUUACAUCAUCACAUUAUUAACAAACCCCAACUAAUACCACAACUUCAACCAGACUAGGUAUUUAAACCAACCCUGUUACCCCGACCCAGGAGCGCUAACUAGAAAGAUUAAAAUCUGUAAAAGGAACUAGGCAAACCCAGGGCCCGACUGUUUACCAAAAACAUAGCCUUCAGCCAACCAAGUAUUGAAGGUGAUGCCUGCCCAGUGACAACAACGUUUAACGGCCGCGGUAUCCUAACCGUGCGAAGGUAGCGCAAUCAAUUGUCUCAUAAAUCGAGACCUGUAUGAAUGGCUAAACGAGGUCCCAACUGUCUCUUUCAGAUAAUCAGUGAAAUUGAUCUUCCUGUGCAAAAGCAGGAAUAAAAACACAAGACGAGAAGACCCUGUGGAACUUAAAAAUCAGCAGCCACCGCAUACAAACCUAAACCUACAAGGCUCACCACCCUCAAACCUUGGUCUGCAUUUUUCGGUUGGGGCGACCUUGGAGAAAAACAAAUCCUCCAAAAACAAGACCACACCCCUUAACCAAGAGCAACCCCUCAACGUACUAACAGUAACCUAGACCCAGUACAACUGACCAAUGAACCAAGCUACCCCAGGGAUAACAGCGCAAUCCCCUCCAAGAGCCCAUAUCGACAAGGGGGUUUACGACCUCGAUGUUGGAUCAGGACAUCCUAAUGGUGCAGCCGCUAUUAAGGGUUCGUUUGUUCAACGAUUAACAGUCCUACGUGAUCUGAGUUCAGACCGGAGCAAUCCAGGUCGGUUUCUAUCUGUGAUAAACUUUUCCCAGUACGAAAGGACCGGAAAAGUGAGGCCCAUACUCACCAAGCAUGCCUCCUCCUUAAGCAAUGAAUCCCACUAAAUUGCCAAAAGGCACCUACACCCCAAAUCUACGUUCUAGAAAAGAACCG